CAUUUUACUUAGUCUUCACAAGUUGCGGAGUUCCAUACAGAGAGAACAAAUAAUGCAUUUCUUCAAAAAUGAAAUCUUAGUACCUUCAAUCCCUACAGUGCACCAAAUUCACAGUUAUGUGACAUUUCACAGCAAGUUCUUCCUUCUAUCUCUUUCUGUUCGAGGUGUGAGCUGUUGGGGUUUGUUUUGCAGGGGUGAACUAUCAUGUCCUGAUUAGGGCUUCUCGUUCUCUGCUUCGGAUGUUCUAUGUACCCGACUCUUCGUGCGGGUGAUAUUAUCUUUCGUUGGAAAGAUUUUGUAGGACCUGAAGUUAGCUGCUACAUACUCAAAAGAGUUGUAAUUGAAGGGGUCCUGAGGGUUAUUUAUCAUGAAAAGAAUUCCAUUCCUUGUGCUUGUUGUAAUCUCAGAUUUCAACAUUUUAAUUGAGUAUGCUAUUAUGCAUCCCCCAGAUGCUGAAAGUUGUACAGAUUGGAUUCGAGAGUAUUCUGUAGGUGAUGCACACCGUUUUGGCGAAGCGGAGGGGAGAAAACACAUGCAUCUGGUCAUAAAGGAAAUUCUGCGUCAAAAGAUAUUUGAAGUUCUGAACUAGUAAAUAUUUUGCUCUCACAUGAGUAGAAGACGUGGAUGGCCGCACUUCAUCUUUUAUGAGAGAGUUGAUUCGCGAUCAAUCGGUGACCAAGUCCGAUCGAUCGGAACACGUGCAGGAGCACCUUUUCUUGAAUGUUAAGAAAAGGAGAGAAGGAAAAUAAUUGGAGGAGGAGGCCAUAUCACCUAUAUUUCUUGUUUGGCUUUCUCUCAUUCAAGACUUGAGCUUUAUUGGGGAUUCCGUUGUCGCAACCAAACAAAACUUAGUAAAAGAAUAUCUUACUUGAUUCUUGGAGCCAAAAUGAAGGGACAAGAUGGCAUAGUACAUUGUGCAUCCAUGGCUGAGAAUUAAAGAAGGAUUAGAGGAUCAGAUUUAAAGAUUCAUGUGUAUCCAAUGGCUGUUAUACAAAGAAGCAAAGUUGUCAACUUUGAGAAGGUGUCCCAACGGCAAUUAAAUGGAUGGUGGGAUUUGUUUCUCAAGUAACAUCAACGGAGCAGAUUGUAAGCAUCAAAUGAAUGGCUGAGUUUGAAGAUUAAGUUCAAUCCAACGGCUGAGCUUGUAAGAGACAAUUUUAUCAAAAGAGGUGUUCUCCUUCCUCACAUUUGGAGAAGCAUUUGCAAUCAAGAGAAAACUUUGUUCAAGCAUUCAAGCAUCCAUUGUCUACUGAAAUCCCAGCUUCUUCCUGAACCACUAGUCAAGGCCUUCUCACUAUUUUGCUGCCGCAAAGAGAGGGUGCUUCUACUUAGGCUCAAGUUGUUACUUCUUCCAAAAUCACCUCACCUCACCUACUUGUAAAUCCUACCCGUGAGUGUGUGAUUGUUGUUAUUGAGAGUUCUUCACUUAAAUAGCUUAGUGCUAGUUGUGAUGCUAGCUGUGAGAACCUUGGCUGAAAACCCUAUUGAGAAAGUCUCUUUGUUAGCGCAAAUUGUAAAGUUUGAGGGAGUUCUUAGAAACCCUUGGUGUAGUUGAGUUUUGUGGGACUCUUGGCAAAAUCACACCUUAGUGGAGGUUGGAAAUCCUAGGUUGGUGAACCUAGGUAGUAGACGUAGAAGAAAGGUCUCCGAACUACUCUAAAUCGCAGUGUCGAUUUUCUUGAUUGCUUGUUAAUUGACCAAGUGUUUAAUUGUUUUCUAAACCAUUUUGGUCAUUGCAAGACCUUGCAUUAAAACUGAUUUUCUGCCCUUGUGUGUUGAUCAUUUGCUUGAGGUUGUUAAUUGCAUUAGUAGAGGUUUCUCUAAACCAUUAGGUCAAGUGUUUUACUUGCAGAAUUUUCUGGACUACUAAUCUGUCAGUGCAUUGUUCACAUAGUUAGACUUUGAAUUUUGAUCUGAAAUUUUGAUAAUAGUGUUUAUCAAGGUGCUGUGACAUUGCAUGUAAAAUUUUGUUGCAUUUAGAUAUCAUUUGAUAGGUGAAAUCUGUGUUGCAAAAUCGGUGCGCAGUGUGUAGUUUGAAAAAUCUGUUUUGUGCAAUUCUUGAUUAUUUGAUAUUUGAUCUUUCACCAUAUUGUAUCACAUCUUGCAUUUGAUUGAAUACUGAUUAGGAUAAUCAUUAGAGUCCAAAGUUGUGUGCUAUUUGUUAAUUGACAUUGAUUGCUUUUUAAAUUACAAAAAGGGAUUCCUAUUGGAAUUUGGGGACACAAUUCACCCCUCUCUUGUGUUAAGUACGAUCCAUCAGAGGGAACCCUAUUUAUGAAGACAAUUGUUGCAAAAGCUGGAGAUGUUGUUCAGGAAACUUUCUUUCACCACUCCCCUUGUAGAUAUGUGUCUUGCAUUGUGUUCAUAGAUUCCAAAAUAAAUCAUUAACCUUGCACUAAAAUUUGAAUUGAUUGCUUAAUUUAGCAUGGUGAUUGUCACUUAAACUUUUCUCCCAUCUAUAAAUUUAAGUUUAGAAAACAAAAAAUGCAAUGCUAAGCACUCUCGUUCUGUUUCUAUUGGUGAAUGGUCUAACAUGUCUAAAGUCUUAAUCUGGAUACUUCUGUCACUAAUAGUUGGAAAAUGCAUUAGCUCAUCAUCCAUGUAUUGUUUAACCUGUCGCGUAAAAGAAAUGGAAACAAACCGGGGAAAUAUUAUUCUUUAGUUGAACUGUGUUCAUUUACUACUUUGCAGGUUUGCAAUGGAUUACUCUGUCAAUGGGCUCAGAAUGAAGAUUUCAUUGCAGAACCACCAAGAGACUCUACUGUGAGCCAUCCACAUGUUACUUCUUUGUUUCUACAUUACUGCAUUCUUUUUCAAUGCCCAGCACCAUUGUUCUUGAGCACAUCAUGGGGUCAAAUCUGCCUCUUCCACAAUUUUUGUAUUUGUUAAAAGCUAAAUCUAAAAAAAGUAAAUUACCUGUAUGUACUCUCUGCAAUUUAUUGCUAAAUUAGGUAGGUAAAUGUGGGCACGAUUCCGUAAGGUGUAGCUUAUGUCUUCUUACUUUUAAAUUUAUUGCAUUUCAGUAUUUCAGGGACUUGGAAUAAUGCACCAUAUACUUGGUUUGCCUCCUUUGCUCCUUAAGACAUUGUGGGUUGACAUUAGCUUUACAUUUUGUUAAUUUGCAGUAUGUGCCUAAAGAUCAUGUGUAUGUGUUGGGAGACAACCGCAACCACAGCAACGACUCCCAUAAAUGGUGGUUAUUUACGUCGUUUCGUUUAUUUUUCUUUCGUAUUCUAGGAGAGUAUCCAAGAAAAACUUGAUUCGAAGGGUCAUUGCGCCAUUGCUUACUACUGAUUUGUAUACAUUUUAAUUGAUUAUUUACUUCUUUCUGUUCUCAAUUCUCUUAUUGUAUCAAACUAUCAUCUACCGUGUUCCUCAGGGGACCAGUUCCUGUGAAAGACAUUGUUGAUUGUUGGAAGAUAUUUCAUGCAUCCUUAUAGGCUCUCGGAUUGGGAAUGAGGGGGCGUCCCGUGCACAUAUUAGCUCAUCUCAGGAGGAUAAUUAUUGAGAGCAGCUUACACUUGCAGAUUUAAGUUUUGAUUCUAAAACAAUUUUGUAAUUACCUGCCUAUUAAUAAGGAAGAAGCUGACUUAUUUCUACAUUGUAUUUAGAUUCUUUACUGGUUGCCUUCUUGAAUGAAAUCUGUAAUGUAACAUUGCAAAGCUUAUAUAACUAUAUAUGGUAGU